AAUCAGUAAAACAAUGUGUUCAAAAAUUUAUCAUUGAAGAAUUAAUAUUCCUUAAUAAUAAGAAUUCUAUCUUUUUGCACUGCAUGUUAUACACAAAUUUCGAAUUUCGGCUCGCACUUGCAUUGACAAUGGCACUGGUCUCGCUUUGUCCCAAUAGAUGCGUCGCAAAAGCUCUUGGCUGGAGUUGCCUCAGUUCCUGCGUCGCAGUAGCUCUUAGCUGGAGUUGCCUCAGUUUCUGAAUCAUAGUAGCUCUCAGCUACUGUUAUGGUGCUUUAAUCAGGAAAACAAUGUAUUCAAAAAUUUAUCAUUGAAGAAUUAAUAUUCCUUAAUAAUAAUAAUUCCAUCUUUUCGCACUGCAUGUUAUACACAAAUUUCGAAUUUCGGCUCGCACUUGCAUUGACAAUGGCACUGGUCUCGCUUUGUCCCAAUAGAUGCGUCGCAAAAGCUCUUGGCUGGAGUUGCCUCGGUUCCUACGUCGCAGUAGCUCUUAGCUGGAGUUGCCUCAGUUUCUGAAUCAUAGUAGCUCUCAGCUACUGUUAUGGUGCUUUAAUCAGGAAAACAAUGUAUUCAAUUGAAUUAUCAUUGAAGAAUUAAUAUUCCUUAAUAAUUAUAAUUCCAUCUUUUUGCACUGCAUUUAUACACAAAUUUCGAAUUUCGGCUCGCACUUGCAUUGACAAUGGCACUGGUCUCGCUUUGUCCCAAUAGAUGCGUCGCAAAAGCUCUUGGCUGGAGUUGCCUCGGUUCCUACGUCGCAGUAGCUCUUAGCUGGAGUUGCCUCAGUUUCUGAAUCAUAGUAGCUCUCAGCUACUGUUAUGGUGCUUUAAUCAGGAAAACAAUGUAUUCAAUUGAAUUAUCAUUGAAGAAUUAAUAUUCCUUAAUAAUUAUAAUUCCAUCUUUUUGCACUGCAUUUAUACACAAAUUUCGAAUUUCGGCUCGCACUUGCAUUGACAAUGGCACUGGUCUCGCUUUGUCCCAAUAGAUGCGUCGCAAAAGCUCUUGGCUGGAGUUGCCUCGGUUCCUACGUCGCAGUAGAUCUCAGCUGGAGUUGCCUCGGUUCCUACGUCGCAGUAGCUCUUAGCUGGAGUUGCCUCAGUUUCUGAAUCAUAGUAGCUCUCAGCUACUGUUAUGGUGCUUUAAUCAGGAAAACAAUGUAUUCAAUUGAAUUAUCAUUGAAGAAUUAAUAUUCCUUAAUAAUUAUAAUUCCAUCUUUUUGCACUGCAUUUAUACACAAAUUUCGAAUUUCGGCUCGCACUUGCAUUGACAAUGGCACUGGUCUCGCUUUGUCCCAAUAGAUGCGUCGCAAAAGCUCUUGGCUGGAGAUGCCUCAGUUCCUACGUCGCAGUAGAUCUCAGCUGGAGUUGCCUCGGUUCCUACGUCGCAGUAGCUCUUAGCUGGAGUUGCCUCAGUUUCUGAAUCAUAGUAGCUCUCAGCUACUGUUAUGGUGCUUUAAUCAGGAAAACAAUGUAUUCAAUUGAAUUAUCAUUGAAGAAUUAAUAUUCCUUAAUAAUUAUAAUUCCAUCUUUUUGCACUGCAUUUAUACACAAAUUUCGAAUUUCGGCUCGCACUUGCAUUGACAAUGGCACUGGUCUCGCUUUGUCCCAAUAGAUGCGUCGCAAAAGCUCUUGGCUGGAGUUGCCUCGGUUCCUACGUCGCAGUAGAUCUCAGCUGGAGUUGCCUCGGUUCCUACGUCGCAGUAGCUCUUAGCUGGAGUUGCCUCAGUUUCUGAAUCAUAGUAGCUCUCAGCUACUGUUAUGGUGCUUUAAUCAGGAAAACAAUGUAUUCAAUUGAAUUAUCAUUGAAGAAUUAAUAUUCCUUAAUAAUUAUAAUUCCAUCUUUUUGCACUGCAUUUAUACACAAAUUUCGAUAUCAAUUCGUCCAUAGAAUUUCGGCUCGCACUUGCAUUGACAAUGGCACUGGUCUCGCUUUGUCCCAAUAGAUGCGUCGCAAAAGCUCUUGGCUGGAGUUGCCUCGGUUCCUACGUCGCAGUAGAUCUCAGCUGGAGUUGCCUCGGUUCCUACGUCGCAGUAGCUCUUAGCUGGAGUUGCCUCAGUUUCUGAAUCAUAGUAGCUCUCAGCUACUGUUAUGGUGCUUUAAUCAGGAAAACAAUGUAUUCAAUUGAAUUAUCAUUGAAGAAUUAAUAUUCCUUAAUAAUUAUAAUUCCAUCUUUUUGCACUGCAUUUAUACACAAAUUUCGAAUUUCGGCUCGCACUUGCAUUGACAAUGGCACUGGUCUCGCUUUGUCCCAAUAGAUGCGUCGCAAAAGCUCUUGGCUGGAGUUGCCUCGGUUCCUGCCACUAUCAGUCGACUGUCCGUGGAUCAUUAAUUUGGCAUCAGUCUUCUGUCCCUCAGCAAUCAACUUGGCAUCCUCCUUUCGUACUAGUUCCACGCCUCGGGUAAAUGCUUCCAGAGAAACGUCAUACAUGCUUAGGGCAUAGCACAGAUUUUCCAUCGCGUGAUCGGCGGAAGGCUCCGAAUCGCUUUCAUCGUAGCUGGUCCCAACACCAGCUCCAAGACCUACCAUUAAAGUAGCCGUAUCCAGUCUCAAUCCUCUGACCGAUGUAGCCUCAACCAUCAGAGUAUUCCUGCCUUGGGACGACAUCGAUGUGCUCUUAUCCUGUCUGUUUGUCAGUCUCAUCUUCACUGAUUGACCCGUCUGUAUGGACUUAUCCAUGUCAUAAUGUAGAUUGAUCUUGGCCUGAGUCCGUUUCAGCAACAAAACAGGCUGGCGACAAUUCUGCCUAUAGGCCCGUCUACCAGAUGAACUUCCUGUUGAACUUCCUGUUGAACUUCCUGUAUCCUCCGAACUCUCGUAUCGCUCAUGCCGCACUCUUGGACCACCAGUCCUGGGAUCCACCUCAACAAUGGUUUUGGUGCGAAUUGAACUGCUUGAAGAAGUAGCAGUUCAAGUUCCUGCAUGUUCCUUGAGCAAGUCGGUCGUUGCAUCUCGUAGAUCGACGACAUUUUUUUUUUUUUUUCGAUUGAAGCAUUUUAAUCAAAAAUUGCGUUUGAAUUGUCGAAAAAUUUGAUACACACAACUUUGAUUCGUCUAAAAAAUUGGAAAUAAUAUAAAUUAU